rnacentral:rRNA from 1 species
GGACCCGCACAAGCGGUGGAGCAUGUGGUUUAAUUCGAUGCAACGCGAAAAACCUUACCUACUCUUGACAUACUUGGAAGCUCUUGUAAUGAGAGUGUGCCUUUUGGAACCAAGAUACAGGUGCUGCAUGGCUGUCGUCAGCUCGUGUCGUGAGAUGUUCCGUUAAGUCGGAUAACGAGCGCAACCCUUACCCUUAUUUGCCAGCGAUUCGGUCGGGAACUAUAAGGGGACUGCCGGUGAUAAACCGGAGGAAGGUGAGGACGACGUCAAGUAUCAUGGCCCUUACGAGUAGGGCUACACACGUGCUACAAUGGGGAAUACAGACGGCUGCAAAACCAGCGAUGGGGAGCUAA